UCUUCCCUCUCACCAGUGCAAACCAACAUUAGUAAAUGAAGAGAGGCUGUGUGAGGGCGUCAACGGUGGCCCACUUGGGAGUCAGCCUCCUUCCUCGGAUCGGCUGUGCGACUUUGGCAUCUCGCAAUAUGCCUGCUCUUCGGUUGCAUCAUCUCUGUCCUCUGGCAACCUCGUCACGCUGCUGACUUGCGAGGCGCAGAGCGGCACCAUCAGCAGCGCAGAGACGUGGAAGCUUUUCUUCCAGAAAGUCGCAGGAGUUCUGGAGGAUGCUCUGUCAG